GACCUCUCCUCCUUGGGGCUUUGGGGGUCUCUUUCCCCUUUGGCCAGAAGAGGCGGCCCAGAUGAGCCUGGAGGGUCACCGUGGGGCCGCUGUGAUCAGGGAGCCCCGACAUGCCCAGCAUCUGGCAGGC